GAUGAACGCUGGCGGCGUGCCUAACACAUGCAAGUCGAGCGAUUCUCUUCGGAGAAGAGCGGCGGACGGGUGAGUAACGCGUGGGUAACCUGCCCUGUACACACGGAUAACAUACCGAAAGGUAUGCUAAUACGGGAUAAUGUAAGAGAGUCGCAUGGCUUUCUUAUCAAAGCUCCGGCGGUACAGGAUGGACCCGCGUCUGAUUAGCUAGUUGGUGAGGUAAUGGCUCACCAAGGCGACGAUCAGUAGCCGACCUGAGAGGGAGAUCGGCCACAUUGGAACUGAGACACGGUCCAAACUCCUACGGGAGGCAGCAGUGGGGAAUAUUGCACAAUGGGCGAAAGCCUGAUGCAGCAACGCCGCGUGAGCGAUGAAGGCCUUCGGGUCGUAAAGCUCUGUCCUCAAGGAAGAUAAUGACGGUACUUGAGGAGGAAGCCCCGGCUAACUACGUGCCAGCAGCCGCAGUAA
rnacentral:rRNA from 1 species